rnacentral:rRNA from 1 species
UACGUAGGGGGCGAGCGUUGUCCGGAUUUAUUGGGCGUAAAGGGCGCGUAGGCGGCUCAUGAAGGCUGUGGUGAAAGUCCGGGGCUCAACCUCGGAUCGGCCGUGGCGACUCGUGGGCUGGAGCACUGUAGAGGCGGGUGGAAUUCCGGGUGUAGCGGUGGAAUGCGUAGAGAUCCGGAAGAACACCAGUGGCGAAGGCGGCCCGCUGGGCAGUGGCUGACGCUGAGGCGCGACAGCGUGGGGAGCAAACAGG